CCCUAUGGGGCGCAGCCGGCGGGAUAAUAAGUCAGAGGUGAAAUCCUACGGCUCAACUGUAGAACUGCCUUUGAUACUGUUAUCCUAGAGUGUAGUUGAUGUGGGCGGAAUAUGUCAUGUAGCGGUGAAAUGCUUAGAUAUGACAUAGAACACCGAUCGCGAAGGCAGCUCACAAAGCUACAACUGACGCUCAGGGACGAAAGCGUGGGGAUCAAACA
rnacentral:rRNA from 1 species